rfam:Trametes cinnabarina, BRFM137, WGS project CCBP01000000 data, contig: scf184989
GCUCUCGUCGUCUAAUGGCUAUGAUAUCAGAUUCCUAUGUUGGGGGCGAUCUGAAGGCUCCGGGUUCGAGUCCCGGCGGGAGUA